ensembl:lncRNA
GCCAAAGGGGAAGCUGACUGCCAUCCUGCUCCGUAGAUCCUCAUCCUUUAGCAUUAACUCUUCUCAUCAGCUGGGAGGUCUCCAGGAUUUUCUGUAGAGGGUCAGCAGCAGCUUUGCAUGCACAUCACCCUCUAGUCGAACCCCAUCCAGCCCCAAGCAUUUCUAAGUUAAACACAUGCAGUAUAUAACAAAUUCCACAGUGCAUUAAUGCACAUAAUGGAGAAGAAUGACACAGAUAAACUCUUUUCCUGGAAUUAAGAUUGAAGUGAAGGAAAGUGUAUGUUGUGGCUUUCUUUUGACAUGUGCUUUUCACGUAUUUACCACUAGAGUGAACUAGUGUGACUAUCCCUCAAGAAACUCGGUCUGUCAUGGCACAUAUCUGCUCACACCAACACCAUUCUCCCCCAGACUCCUUCAGUGUUGAAGCUGUGUAGUCAAGGUCAAAAGGUAGGAGCACCCACCUCUCCAGGACAAUGAAUGAGAUAUGGAUUGUGUAAAAAACAAUAGCAUGUGACAAUCAAGAACUUUACACUUUGCCUAAGCAAGUUACAAAUAUCUUUAAUACUCACAGCCUCACAGGGAAAAGUUCUGCUCACACGGCACAGCCAUCAAUAAAACUGAUUAGAUGUACCAUGCCUGCAGCAACCACCUCCA